UCUUCUUUAUCUCUCUCCCUAUCUAUUUCUCUUCUCUUAGUAUUAGGGUUAAACUCCUUCUUCACACACAGAUAUGAUGAUGACGAUUAUCGAAAUCCUUCAUCUUCUUUUAUCCUAAAUCAAGGUUGAAUGAUUUGUUGAUUUCAGAGAUCUCAAAUCCCAAAUCAAGCCGACCAAUUUAUUAGCUGCAGGAACACCCAACUUCUCUUGAUUCCACUUUAGAAUUGCUUCUGCAAAUUCAUGAGAGACAAAUUUUAAGGGACGGGGUUAGUGAGUCCCAGUUUAACCAUUUUAUGAAUAUUGAGCUAGACAAAACCAUAAAGGCUUGGGAGUUUCUCGGUAAGGAUGCCCACUACAAGCCUCCUGAGUUGAAAUUGAAGCCAAAGUUUAUAGUGAUUACUGCACAUGAAAAUCAUCACACCAAGUUCUUUUCAGAAUGAAUCUCCUAAUAAUGUUCCACAUGGUUAGGAUAAUAUAUGAUGACUCUUUUCUUGACCAUGGGCUCUUACGCCCUUCUAUAUGAUGCAUGAUUAACUUAUUUUAAUUACUGUACUACUAAUACUACUAACUCAGCUUUAUUACGCUAGUGAUUGUUGAGGGAAUAAUGUUGAUGUUGUAGCUAGGUGAACUACUGAGUUCGAAGAAACUGAGAUUGUGUCUCCCUCUAAUUGCAACAUAAUACUUACAACAGUUUCCAGUACGAGCUUCUUGAACUCUUCUUCUGGCACAAUUUUCUCAUCAUCUGCACCGACCAUCUUGAGCACCUCAUUCACUAUGUGAUAGCAUACAUCAAUUUUGCAUAAGACUGUCAGGAAUAAACGCAGCUAGUAAUUGGUAUGAAGACUUGUUAACCCUUACAUGCGGUUUUCCAAUACUGAGACGAGGUUUGUUACUUACCUGAUUGAUGGCUCCAUAAAGAGGCAAACUAGCUGAUGGGGCCAGUGAAUCCGGAGCUACACGCAGAUACUCCUUGGACAGUUCCCCACAGCGAUUUCUUGGGCAUGAUUGGCUAUAAAAGGGGUUGGAAACAAUCAGCAGAGAACAUCGCUGGUCCUGACAAUCUUGCACUCUACCUGCACUAUAAAAGUUCAUAGAGGAGCUUUUUAGAUCUUCUCCAACCUUCCAUUCACCACCAGCUCGAGAAUCACCACCAUCAGUACUUCAUUCACAUCAUCUACACCUCUCUGACUUAGGAGAAUUGCCUCUCAGCUGUUUGUGAAAACAUUCAACAGCUCAUCUCUAGAACUCACCACCAGUUUACCUCACAACUGAAUUCAUCCCAUUACCAGACCACCAGCACCUCCAUCAAUCUAUCACCAGUUCCUCACCCAUUAAAAUGUUUUAAUUGUAGUAAUGGUUUUUCCUAAGCAACUUUUUUGGUGUCUGACUAUGUAUUUCCUGUAAAAAUUUUGUCAUUAGGCUUAUAGUAUGAGUAUGAAGGCUGGGUAACUUAAGUAUGGUAAAGAAAAAGGCUACAUUGAAGGUAAACUUUGUUAAAACCUAUGUGUGAGGAGCUAUGCCUAGAAUAUGGUACUACUAAGCAACUAUAUUUUGUUCCCUUCAUGAUUAUAAUCUUUGAGGAGGUCUUCCUAGAAGCGGCGCUCCGAGCACUUUGCUUGCAAACACUAGGUACACUCCGAGGCUUAUCCAAUUGAAUACAUACCAAAGGAAUAAAGGGACUGCUAUAGUGAGAGCUUGGCAUCUACAAAUUCAGGUCCUGACUCAUAAUUGGCGACCUUGGCUAAAAGUUGGGAUUGAAUUUUAAAUUGUUAUAGAAUGUAUUUGAAACGUAUGAGAUGUUUCUAUACUUGCAUUUCUUUUGAUACUUCACACUUAAUGUCUCUAGUAACUUUAUGUUUGUACGUUCUUAGCGUAACAUAGAUCA